GCCCCCACUCAUAUCUCUAUAUUACUCAUUUGCCCUUCUUUCUAGAUUGUGCCACGUGUACCCACUUCUCCAUCUUCAAUGCUUCCCUUCCUCUCUUUUUUUCUGUAGGGUUUCCCCCUUCCCUCCUCUCCCUUCUGGUGCUUCCGUUUUUUUAUCUUCCCUUCCCAGUUUCUGCUGAGUUUCGCCGAUCAAAGCCAAAAUGUCGAGAGCAGCCUCAGAGAUUUUCCUUUUCUCAUAUGCAGGAGUUUAUCGGAGCCAUGCCUAUUUUCUCCAAGGAGCUUCUCGCCGGUGGAGUUUCCGGCGGCAUCGCUAAAACUGACGUAGCCCCUCUUGAACGAAUCAAGAUUCUUUUUUAGAAAGAUGAUAAAGUAUUGAGAAGUUCAGUAAACGAACCGUGAAGAUCACAUUUGUUAGGAUUUUCAAUCGACCUCCGUAUUUGGAAUCUUACUCAAGUGGGGUGAAUAUUAAGUCCAAAGCAUCCACACGUUGGCAAUGCAGACCAAGAAGAGACUUUCUUCAAAAGUUAGAGCCUUCUAGCUCUAUAAGACUGAGAUCUCAGAUGAAGGUAUCUGAAAAUGUUCCAGUUGCCGAGAUCGAAUAAGGCUGCAGUCUCAACUGCUUGAAAAUCUACCUAUGACCCAAGUGAUGCACACAAAGUGGUGCAGACCCACGUGAUGCAGAUCCAAAGUGGUGCAGACCCAAGUGAUGUAGAUCCAAAGUGGUGCAGAACUAAGUGAUGCAGACCUUUGUGAAAAUUCAUGUGGUGCAGACCCAAGUGAUGCAGACAAAGUGGUGUGGGCACAAGGUGGUGCAGAUCCAAAAUGAUUUGUGGUAAACUGAGUUUUAGGGAGCUAAUUGAUGAUGAAGAUAAUAUUUUUGGGUUGAAAAAGGCUCUGAUGGUGCAGACCCAAGUGAUGCAGUCAAAGUGGUUCAGACCCACCAAGUGAUGCAGAUCCAAAGUGGUUCAGACCCACCAAGUGAUGCAGAUCCAAAGUGGUGCAAACCCAAGUGAUGUUGGUUCAAAGUGGUUAAACUGGAUACAUAAGCUGGAUUAUGACUCCCCAUAAUCUAUUAUCCGGUUAUGACUCGCUCACAUGAUUGACCGUGCCCCAACAGGAUAAUCUAUUAUACCUUGAGAGAUCUACGUGAGUUCAAGACGGUAAUAAGUGAAUAACAAUUCAAAGAAUGGUGAGGUUAAGGAAGCGGAUGAAGCUGAUGAUAAUACCAAUUACCAAUUUUUCGUAAGGUUUGGAGUUUGUCUGAUUUGCUUAAUUGGUAUAGAAUUCAUAGGUUUAUUGUUUUGUUUUGUAGGUUUCUAUGUGUUUUCUCAACUGGGAUGUUGAUUAGGUUCAUAUUUCUGGUUCAUUAGGAUUUUAGCCUUUUUUCACUUAUCCCCGAUUUCAAUUCCUGGGUCAUGGUCGAGAUUUUCUUUUGCAAUUUUAGACUUGUAUGGUUGUUUAGACUUGUGGAUUUUCGAUGAACUGGUAACAUCUUGAUGUGAAUUUCAAGUGCAAUUUUUACAUUUUCUUAAAGCUUAUUGUUUAGAAUCUAAUACGAAUAAUGAUUGUAACCUGAAAUCGUUCUAUGAUUUCAUUCUCUAACUUAUGGGGAAGGGGGGGAGGGGCUCCUUUCGUUCUAUGAUUGUAACCUGAAAUCGUAAUUUAAAAUUAUGGAUGCCGUAUGAUAUUUAGAAAUUUGUACUAUUGGGGGUGGUUUUGAACCCAUAGUUAGAGACUCUGGCUAGGGCUUAGAAGAGUAACAACUUAGAAGGGAGACUUAAUCACAUGGAUGAUUCUUGUAGCCAAUAGCUUGCUUGUUUUGUAUGACGGCCGAAGGAUUUAUGUAGAAUUAGCUUGCUUUCUUCCAAUGACUGUACCCUGAAAUCGUAAUCUUUAUAGCUGUGGAUGUAUGAUAUUUAGAAAUUGGUGUUAAUGGGGUUGGUGUUGACCCAUAGUUAGAACUAGGGUUUGAAACUUGAACUAGAAUAUAAUUGCUUCCUUGGUUGAUUCUUGUGGACAACAACUUGCUUGUUCUCAUGCAGUUUUUAUGAUGCUCGAAAGAUUCAGCUACACAGUAGCUAGGUGACGUCGUUUAUAAUUAGCUGGACAAAAUAAGAAGUAAAUAUAGCUAGGAACCAUCUUGAGUUUAUUUAAUGUUGAGGGACUUAUGGCAGCCUGGUAGGGUCAUCUAUUUAUCAUCCUUCCUUGUGCGACAUUUGCAAGUGCAUGGGUUCAUUCUAUGUAUUUAUGUGUAUGUGUGUUAUUUCUUGUGUUCAAUAUUCAUACUUGCGUAUUAUAGUUUGAUGUUAGCAUAGCUUCAUGUUAAAAGAACUUCCAAACGUUGCUUUAGGAGGUCUUUAUUCCAAAUAUCAUUUCUGAACUGAUAUAUUCCUUUUGUAACACAUGAUUCAUGUUAAAAGUUAACUCUCUUGCAUGAUUUAUGCCUUUUUGUGUAAAAGAGUUGUAAUCUACUGUCCAUGCCUCACCAGAUUACGAAAAUUGUCUGUUACAUAAAAUGUUACAUAAAAUAUCUGAGAUAAAGGUUUUUUGUGCAUUUUGGGUGUUUAGCUUCCAUCACUUGAGCAUUUGGCAUGAACUGAAUUUUUUUGACAUUGUUUUCAUUUCAAGAAAAUCUCAUAUUGUUUGCUGAGGUGAUAGGUGGGAUAAUGUGCUUGUUUUCCUGGAUAAACUAAAGGUUCCAAGGCAUUAGAGGAAUCAGAAAGCUUAAAACUGGCCAAAUUUCCUGGUUCUUUUAGCUUUCCUUAUUACCAAAGGAUGGGUGAAACUUAGUUGACACAGGAGGGAUGUGAAAAAUGAAGGGAAAUCAUUUAAUUACCCCGGCUAUUUUGUAACCGCCAACAUGUAGUUGGACAAGAUUUGGUCAUGAAUCAAAUCACUGGUUGUAUGUUAAAGAAUUAUAAUACAGUAAACUUUUGAUACAGUGUGUUAUAACUCUUUUAGAAUCAACAUUGUUUAUGUUGAAUGAUUUUAGUAUUUAGAUUACCUUACGUGGUCUAGGAAUUCAGGGUAUUUCAUAUGAACAUAGACCACUUGAAGUUUUAUGCUCCUAGGAAAUAACUACAUUUCUUAUCAUUUACUAUAUCCACGCUUUUAACUA